AGCUUGUGAUGAAGGUAUUUCCUUAACAAGUCCUUAAAUCACUCCCAUGCCUUAAAUAGUUAUUCAGUAUCCAACUAUGCAUAAGCUGUAAUCUCCUAAUACAGAU